UUAUAUAUGCGUAUGUAAUUGUAGGGUUCUAAGCUUUACGGGAAACUCAACCGAAAGUUUCUUAUUUAAGAAACUUUCGGUUGAGUUUCCCGUAAAGCCGAACGGUUGGGUUUUCCGUAAAGCCGAACGGUUGGGUUUUCCGUAAAGCUUAGAACCCCACAAUUACAUACGCAUAUAUAA
rnacentral:pre_miRNA from 1 species